GACGAACGCUGGCGGCGUGCCUAAUACAUGCAAGUAGAACGCUGAAGGAGGAGCUUGCUCUUCUGGAUGAGUUGCGAACGGGUGAGUAACGCGUAGGUAACCUGCCUGGUAGCGGGGGAUAACUAUUGGAAACGAUAGCUAAUACCGCAUAACAGUAGAUGUUGCAUGACAUUUGCUUAAAAGGUGCAAUUGCAUCCCUACCAGAUGGACCUGCGUUGUAUUAGCUAGUUGGUGUGGUAACGGCUCACCAAGGCGACGAUACAUAGCCGACCUGAGAGGGUGAUCGGCCACACUGGGACUGAGACACGGCCCAGACGCCUACGGGAGGCAGCAGUAGGGAAUCUUCGGCAAUGGACGGAAGUCUGACCGAGAAACGCCGCGUGAGUGAAGAAGGUUUUCGGAUCGUAAAGCUCUGUUGUAAGAGAAGAACGAGUGUGAGAGUGGAAAGUUCACACUGUGACGGUAUCUUACCAGAAAGGGACGGCUAACUACGUG
rnacentral:rRNA from 1 species